CUCUAUAUAUAUAUAUAAAUAGCAGAUCUGUAGCUAGAUUUUUAUCUAGAGUCAAUUUUCCUGCUGUUUGUAAAAGGCGCAGUAUUCUGCUGAGACCACUGAGUGUUUUUGUCUAUUCACCAUUGGCUGUAAAAUUCGCCCCAAGCUGGUAAAUAGAAGACUUAGACAUCUUGUAGAUGUUCAAACAAUUACCAACUGGAGCAUACACUAAAUAUGUCUUUUUUUGGAGUUUUAAAAGUGAACUUGGCAGAAUCUCUCAGGAGUGAAAAUGUUGGCAAGUUAAAUAGAAAAAUAUUUAACAUUAAGUGCAAAUCAACAUGUUCUGCUGAAAAUCCAAGUGUAAUUAAAUGCUAUGGCUUUCAGCUUGGCAACGCUGGGCAGUGCUAAUUUCCCAACCUGAUAUUCACUGAUUUUUUUUUCUCUCAUCAUUGCUCUGCCAUAAAAUAACUCCAGAGCUUAGCUGCUUAAUUUGUGACGGAUUCAGUGAUUUCGGCAGUUGAAAUCAUAUGCUCAUCUGAACAAGGAAUAUCCCCAGUGGGGUGAAAAAAGGGGUGGUCUGCACAGAAAAAAAAGUCUGUAAGCAUGAGUCCCACAGAAAUAAAAUCUUCAAGAGAAGUAAAUAUGAUCCUCAUAUGACCUGUUGGUAAUAAC